GGCUGGACGCGGUGCCCUGGGGCUGGCGGUCACCCGUGGGGACCCCAAGACUUCCUCGAAGCCGAGGUCUCAAAGGUCCCCUUCGGCCUGGCUACCUAAGGCGAGACCCAGCCCCCACCCCCAGGCCAGAGGAUGAAUCAGCUGCUAUCUGCUGCCUAGUCAACAUGGUCAACAUGAGGGAGUCAAGCAAGAGUUCCAAAUCUCUUGAAUGUGGCCCUUGGAAAUACUUCUGCUCUUAGUUGCUCAGUUGUGCCCAA